UAACUAUCAAGUCAGUGGCCCUGAAUUGAUAAAAUGUAUCUUUCAUUUUCUAAAAUGUCAGUUUCCAAAAAAGUAUAUAUUUUGUUUCUUUCCCAUCACAUACUUCUUGGUCCCUUAGUCUCAGCAUCAAUAGAAAAUCAAACUCUGCCAUUUCCCAUAGCAUGCUGAGUAGCCAGAGCAGUGAUCUCAAACUGCAUCCAUUUCCCACUUUUUAAAAAUCCAUUUGGCCACUGCAAAUUCCUGGAAACAAAGGAUGGCGUAGGAACUAGAAGAAAAUGUGAUAAAUAUUUGGUGUCAUGAGAUGAAGAAAAUCAACCAUAAUGAGGAAAGAAGAUCCUGAUAGUCUGUGGGCAAUUGCAUCAAUUUGCCUUUCCAGGAGGACAACCCUGCAUACAAUUAAAGUCCCAAGUAAUCAAGAGAAUGAAGAGUUUUUAACAGAAAAUGGAUGUGUAGCCUAUGUAAAAUCUAUAAGCCAAACCAACCUUUGACAUUUUAAACGGAAAUUGUGUAAAGAACUGACUGAAAGAUAGACUUAAGUUUUCUCCUCCUCACACAAAAGUUGAAAAGUGACUGAUGCCAUCAAUGGUUGUCUGGUUGUUUUAUUAUGUGCAAUUAAAAAUCAGAACUGAUUCGACUGGCAGUUUUCACAUUAUGUAAACACAAUGGAAGGGGACAUAAUUCCAAUUGCUCCCUUCUGGAAUGUUUUAUGCCUACAGGCACAAGGAAGCUGGACCUUGGACAGCACAACUGCUAUUUGCCAAGUUGAGGAAAAGAAAAAAAAAAUGACUGUCUACCAGGAGUUGGAGCAGUUUUUAGAUGCUGUCAUCCUUAUUAUGCACCCUUGUGGAUUUGGAGGAGGUGGUGGGGUUCUUGACGCACAUCAUUUGCUUCCACAAAUCUCCAAAGUGAUGUCUCCUUUCCUAGAGCUGCUUUCCCAGCUGGCUCCAAUGGUUGAAGUUAAAAGGUUUAAAAAUCCCAUUAAUUUGGCAGCCUGGGUGGCUCAGCGGUUUAGCUCCACCUUCAGCCCAGGGCAUGAUCCUGGAGACCUGGGAUUGAGUCCCACAUCCAGUUCCCUGCAUGGAACCUGCUUCUCCCUCUGCCUGUGUCUCUGCCUCUCUCUCUCUCUCUGUCUCUCAUGAAUAAAUAAAUAAAAUCUUAAAAAAAAAAUAAAAAUAAAAACCC
rnacentral:lncRNA from 1 species